CUCGAGCCCGGUCCUCCGGGCAGAGCAGUUGUUUCGCCACAGCUUGCGGGAUGCAUUCCUCCCCCACGCCCCGGGCGCCAUGGAAACCGCCCGGUUAACCCCCACCCUUUGCACUGCCCCUCAUAUUCAUUUGCCACCCGCUAUCAGCGGACCCUGCAAGAAGAUCCGCCUUCCCGAAGUAAUGCCCAAAAUAGAGCCUCUCCGGUGCCUGUCCGCAUGCCCUGCGCGCGUGCACCAAAGCCCGGCGCCACCUAAGUGUUCUGGGGAAUUCAAGAGGGAUUCCCCAACUUUCUCCCCCUUGGCUUAGGCUCCCAGCCCUUUGCUGAACUAAAGAGAGAUUUGUAGAUUUCCCGGGCUGGUUGCGCUCCUGGGUUAAAGGGGAGUUACAGAAAACUCGCUUUACUCGCUUCUUUCCCUGCGGACGUGGUUUUGUCUUGGGGAGGUUAGAUUUGAACCUGUUAUGUGGGGCUAUUUUUCCUGAUGGAUUCUGGGCGAAGACCCUAGGGUGCGGGGGAGGGAAAGGAGAGUUUGAAGAAGCCGAAGAAGCUGUCCGCGGUUGUGUGAUGGAACGCUUAGCACAGAGCUGGCUCCGGGCUUGGUCUUGGAAGCGGUCUUUGAACUCAAGCAGCCCUAGUCUGCCACCUGCCGGUCCUAGCCCAUUUCAAAGGGCAAACCCUCGACUCGUUGCACUGACCUCUGUCCUUGGCGAGGGAUCCUGAUAAGGAAACUGAGGCCUGGAGAGGCGGGUGUGUUACUCAGCGUCCUAUAGUGAAAUAGCAUCAGAACAAGCAGCAAUAAAAUGGGUGCUCCUUCCACGUGGCCUUUCCCAUGAGCUCUUCUGGGGCAGCCCUUCAGCUUGGUGAGAGAUUCCAAGGGGUCUAACCUGGGAUUCAAGUGAGAUUUGGAAUUGCUUUUGUGGUGGAACGAGCUGGAUCUGUUGUGAGAUCUGGGUUGGGUCUGCUUAGACUUGAAGCUCUGUUUUGUCAUUCUUAGCUUUGGUAUCUUGAGCAAGUCACUUGACCUCUCUAUUCUUCAGUUUCUGAAUCUAUCAAAUAAGGAUUAAAAAUACCUGCCUCCAGCCUGGCACGGUGGCUCACACUUGUAAUCUCAGCACUUCGGGAUGCCGAGAUGGGUGGAUCACUUGAGGUCAGGAGUUCAAGACCACCCUGGCCAACAUGGUGAAACCCCGUCUCUACUAAAAAUACAAAAAUUAGCCAGGUGUGGUGGCACAUGCCUGUAAUCUCAGCUACUUGGGAGGCUGAGGCAGGAGAAUCACUUGAACCUGGGAGGCAGAGGCUGCAGUGAGCUGAGAUGGCACUACUGCAUUCCAGCCUGAGAGACAGAGCGAGACUCUGUCUCAAAAACAAAAAAACAAAACAAACAAAAACCUGCCUCAUAGAAUUGCUGUGAGAAUUAAACAAGCUAAUAUGCAUAAACUGUUUUCAAUAAUAAUGAUCAUAUUCUGGGAGCCACCAGGGUAGGGAUGACUCUUGGCUGAUUCCUAAUGUGGGGGGUAGGGUGUUGGGGUCAUCUCUAUAAAUAUUGGGUAGAUACUACAUAGAGAGAAAUAUUCUGUAUUCAUCCCAUUGAAAAAACAUGUAUUGAGCAGCUUACUAUGUAGCAUAUCUAUCUUUAUGAUGUUCUUACUAUGUAGCAUAUCUAUCUUUAUGAUGUUCUAUCUAUCAGUACCUAUAGGUACACUUUGAAGGGUAAGGAGAAAUACAUUUUAGGGAUUGCUUCCUGAAAGGGGGCUCUGGUUCCUGGUUCCUGGCUCUAUUCCAACUGACACCUUAGGAAGCUUGAGGGAACGAACCUCUGGCAUUGAACUCAAGCUUGUGUGGCCUCUUGCAGAAUGAUAGUUAAGUCAGCCCACUGGAGGCUAUCAGCAACUCCUGGAUUCAAAGCCAAAACAUCACCCUCUUAUUUAUAGCUUACUACUAGCCAAACAGAGCUAUAGAUUUAAGAGGUAAGGAGUUUGUUGAGUGCAGGGGAAGGCCAAAUUUCUAACAGAAUGAAUCAGGUUGGGAGCCGGCAUUAUUCUUUCUUAAAAAUAUCAACACUUGGAAUUUGUGAAAAUGUUGCCCUUACAAGUUUUACAUGCAUAAUUUAUAUGUGUGAUACUACAUGCUCAUCAAUAUUCUGUUUGCCUUAUCUCCCCCACUUCCCUCAGAUUUCUAGCUGUCUCAGGACUUGUGGAUAUUUUUGUAUAUUUUGGAGUGUUUAGUGAGAUAAACUAUGUAACACACGCUCUCAAUACGUAUCUGUAGAAUUGAGUUGUACUGCAUAUCACCAUGAAAUUUUACAAAACUGGAGACAAAGAGGAGAUCCAACAGGAUUUCAGAGAUUUUAAAAAAUCAGAAAAAGUUAAAAAAAAAAAACCAGAUACAAAAUAUCAACACAGUUGCCUCAAGCCUGGAAAUUUGAAGUCAGUGGAACAAUGCCUUCUGAAGAAAAACCGUUUCUUACCUAGAAUGCUAUAUCCAAACUACCAAAAAAUCAGUUUGAGAAGAGAGUGAAACAACAAAUGAUACUGCCUUAUCUUCUCUCUCAGGAAGCUGCUGAAGGAUGUGCUCCACCAAAACAAGGAAGGAAACCUAGAGAGGGGAAGAGGUUAAGGCUGAGGAAACCGGGAAUCCGCCACAAAAGGCAAACAAUGGGAAUCACCCAGCUAAAGGAAACUCCUGGGUAGACAGCUAUCUACCAGGCAUAAAAAGCAGUGUACUCGGCUGGUCGUGGUGGCUCAUGCCUGUAAUCCCAGCACUUUGGGAGGCUGAGGCGGGUGGAUCACCUGAGGUCAGGAGUUCUAGAUCGGCCUGGCCAACAUGGUGAAACCCCAUCUCUACUAAAAAUACAAAAAUUAGCCGGGCGUGGUGGCAGGCACCUGUAAUCCCAGUUACUCAGGAGGCUGAGGCAGGAGAAUCGCUUGAACCCAGGAGGCAGAGGUUGCAAUGAGCCGAGAUCGUGCCAUCGCACUCCAGCUGGGGGGACAAGAGCAAGACUUUGUCCCCCCAAAAAAAAGAAAAAAGAAAAAAAAAGAAAGCAGCAUACUCAGGCUGAAGCUGCUUUGAAGACUCCAAGGAAGAGUUCUUCAAGAAAGUCACACUGAAAGAAUCAUGUUUGAAAAUAUUGAGAGGUUUACACAAUAGGGGGAAGAUUAGGGGUUGGACUAAUGAUAAGUACCAUAAAUAUAACUAAGUAAAUGGGGAAAAGGAAGCAUUAUUAACUCCAGUGGAAUAAACAAACUAUGGAGGAAAAGGAAAAAAUAAUCAUGAUAUACCCUAAGUGAUUUGAUUUGCAUAGCAUGAACACAAUCCUAAUAAAGUGAACACUGGGAGUUGAUGUAUCUAAAGCUAUGAUAUAACACAGUUAGCAGGAUGGGGGAGUGGGAAGCGGGCACCUGUGCAGGGUUGAGAUGAGGGUGGGGUAAACAGUUAAACAAGGAGAAUGGGGCCGGGCACGGUGGCUCACACCUGUAAUCCCAGCCCUUUGGGAUGCCGACGAUGGUGGAUUGCUUGAGCUCGGGAGUUCGAGACCAGGCUGGGGAACAUAGCUAGACCCUGUCUCUAUCAAAAGCAGAAACAAAAACCAAAAACUAAAAACAAGGAGAGCUGGUUUUCUUCCCUGGGGUUUUGGCAGAAGCACAUUCCCUUCAAGGACAAACUUGGAGAAUCUCUGAGCAGACCCCGGAGGAGAAGGAAUCUAGACUCCAAUCAUGCGAUUUGUCUGCCGUAUAGAAAAGGCUAUGGCAUGCAAAUGCCUAACAUGGAAAAAGUCCGGAAGUGUUAAUAAACCCGUGGCACUUACAGCUAUGGUGGUUAAGUACCAAAAGAAUUGAGAAGAGUUGGAAGUACUUGCCUCUGGAGCGCAGGAAAGGGGGGUACACAACUGAUAUGUUUCAUACAUGAUUAUUUUAUUGUUUGAACUAUGUAUAACUAAUAUUUUUUCUUUUUUCUUUUUUUUGAGAAGGAGUCUUGCUCUGUCGCCCAGGCUGGAGUGCGGUGGUGCGAUCUUGGCUUAUUGCAACCUCUGCCUCCCAGGUUCAAGCGAUUCUCCUGCCUCAGCCUCCCGAGUAGCUGAGACUACAGGCGCACGCUACCAUGCCUGGCUAAUUUUUUGUAUUUCGUUGUAGAGACGGGGUUUCACUGUAUUAGCCAGGAUGGUCUUGAUCUCCUGACCUCGUGAUCUGCCUGCCUACCUCAGCCUCCCAAAGUGCUGGGAUUACAGGCGUGAGCCACUGUGCCCAGCCAACUAAUUUUUUUGAACUUAAAAAAAAUCCUAAAAUUAAAAAAUGGAAUCAAAUUUAACCGAGCUCCAGCUGUUUCACUGGAGCCCAUAGGUGAUGUCUCAAAGUGUGGUCAACUUGUCCUAGAGUUUAUACUGUUGGUGCUAUGAUGGACACCCAAGACUUCAACUCUGGAACCUCAGGGAUGCCUCUUCAGCCAAGCUAUGUCCUCCAAAGUCCAUUAGGGCGUCUCCUCAGAGAAAUUGUGUGUGUAGUCAGAGGACCUAUUCCCCACAUCCUAGUCUUGUUUGACCAUUCCCUGGCCUUCUUUUUGCUUCUAACGUCUUUCAUACUUAUAGAGUCUGUGGGCUCUUAUCCCUACAACUUACAACUCAACUUCCGUCCCAUCAUCCAAAGACCUGUGCCAAGGUCUACUUCUCUGGAGUUCUCUCUGUCGACAAAGCGCACCACUAGCUCCCAGUGAGCCAAGCCUGAAGACUAAGGAUUCCCCAGAUCCCCCUUCACUCACUCUCAGUGUCACAGAUGCUUCUUUCCUUACAGUCUUCCCUCCUGUCCUUUCUCACUGCCACCACCCUGCUGCAGCCUCUCCUGGCUUCUCACCUCCAACCCACGGCUGCCUCCUCGUUGUUCUCGCUCCUUCCAGUUCAGCCGGAUGUCGCCUCACAGGAUUUUCCAGUUCUCUUCAGGUCACUCCCUGCCUUGAACCCUCCAGUGGCCACCAAAACAAGGAAGGAAACCUAGAGAGGGUGAGAGGUUAAGGCUGAGGAAACCAGGAAUCUGCCACUAGAGGCAAGCACUCCUCAGCUCUGCACACAAGGUCUUUGUGAUGUUGUUCUGGCCACAUCUCCCACCACUGUCCACUCCCCACCUUUUGCUCCAGACAGGUGGAGCCACCUGCAGCUCCCCAUAAGCGUGCUUCACAAUGCAGGGCAAGCGUCCCCUCCUCCAGGAAGCCUUCCCCCAUGCCCUAAGUGUGACUCAGAGAUUUCUUUCCAUCCCUGCAUGUGCAGCUUUGUGGUAGCUCCUGUCACACAGUUUCAUAAAUGUUUGUUUACUUCUUCAAGUUAACGACUCAGUGUGCGCUCCUCAAGCUUAGAAAUGAUGGCCUAUUCAUCUUCAAAUCCCAACCUCUAGUGUCGCGUCUGGCCCGCAGAAGGAAAAUGAAGGCCUGACUGCAUUGACUUUUUGGAUGCAUUUCCUAGAUGAGUCCUAUUUCUAGGUGGCCUCACAAGAAAUAAAAACAUGUCCAGCUUGUUCCGGAUGCUCAUAUC
rnacentral:lncRNA from 1 species